UCCCUGGUGGCUCAGAUGGUAAAGCGUCUGCCUGCAAUGCGGGAGACCUGGGUUCAAUCCCUGGGUUGGGAA
rfam:TPA: Bos taurus chromosome 4, whole genome shotgun sequence.